rnacentral:tRNA from 1 species
GCCAGUGUGGCAUAGUGGUUUGACUGUUGGACUACAACUCUGGAGCUAGGGUUCAAUUCCCUGCUCAGCCA